GUCUGUGGCACUUCUAGUGGAACCACUGUUAAUGGCAGGGUGCAUGUCCAAAGCAGAGGACGAUCCCCCCAUCUGCUACUGCGGACAGACUGGGAAAAGGGCAGAACAGGUUUUGGUAGAGAUCCCUGGAAAGUCCCUGUUAUCCAGAUGCCUCCUGCAGGUCGGGAGCUGCGCCCAAGGGAGCCGUGCAUGUCCCCAGCCUUGGGACACUCCAGCCUCAGUUUCUCAGCAUCAGGGCCCUGUCAGCCAAUGUCACCUGGUGUCUGACCACUGCUACAACCCGCAGUCCCCGAGCCCCGCCGGUCCCUUCCUGUCUGCUCCCCCAGGCUCUGCCUGGAUGACUCCAGGAGGGCUGUAUUCUGAGUCCAGCACCUCCCUCCGCUCUCCUAUCUCUGGAAGCGGUCCACUUAUAGCAGGAAGACUGGGAAAGAUCAACUGCUAUGUAUAAUAAAAC
rnacentral:lncRNA from 1 species